rnacentral:rRNA from 1 species
UAAGGAAUAUUGGACAAUGGUCGCAAGACUGAUCCAGCCAUGCCGCGUGCAGGAUGAAUGCCCUAUGGGUUGUAAACUGCUUUUAUACGGGAAUAAACCCGGGUACGUGUACCCGGCUGAAUGUACCGUAAGAAUAAGGGUCGGCUAACUUCGUGCCAGCAGCCGCGGUAAGACGAAGGACCCAAGCGUUAUCCGGAUUCAUUGGGUUUAAAGGGUGCGUAGGCGGGUUGAUAAGUCAGUGGUGAAAGCCCAACGCUUAACGUUGGAACUGCCAUUGAUACUGUCGAUCUUGAAUGUGUUUGAUGUGGGCGGAAUAUGACAUGUAGCGGUGAAAUGCUUAGAUAUGUCAUAGAACACCGAUUGCGAAGGCAGCUCACAAAACCACUAUUGACGCUGAGGCACGAAAGCGUGGGGAUCAAACAGG